GACGUAGGGGGCGAGCGUUAUCCGGAUUCACUGGGCGUAAAGGGCGCGUAGGCGGCUACGUAAGUCCGGCGUGAAAUCCCACGGCUCAACUGUGGAACUGCGUCGGAUACUGCGUUGGCUAGAGGACGGUAGAGGCUAGUGGAACUAGCGGUGUAGCGGUGAAAUGCGCAGAUAUCGCUAGGAACGCCGGUGGCGAAGGCGACUGGCUGGGCCGAUCCUGACGCUGAGGCGCGAAAGCUAGGGGAGCGAACCGG
rnacentral:rRNA from 1 species